rnacentral:rRNA from 1 species
CCUACGGGUGGCAGCAGUGAGGAAUAUUGGUCAAUGGACGCAAGUCUGAACCAGCCAUGCCGCGUGCAGGAUGACGGUUCUAUGAGUUGUAAACUGCUUUUGUACGAGGGUAAACCCCGAUACGUGUAUCGGGUUGAAAGUAUCGUACGAAUAAGGAUCGGCUAACUCCGUGCCAGCAGCCGCGGUAAUACGGAGGAUCCGAGCGUUAUCCGGAUUUAUUGGGUUUAAAGGGUGCGUAGGCGGGUUGGUAAGUUAGAGGUGAAAUGUCGGGGCUCAACCCCGGAACUGCCUCUAAUACUGUUAGACUAGAGAAUAGUUGCGGUAGGCGGAAUGUAUGGUGUAGCGGUGAAAUGCUUAGAGAUCAUACAGAACACCGAUUGCGAAGGCAGCUUACCGAACUAUAUCUGACGUUGAGGCACGAAAGCGUGGGUAGCGAACAGGAUUAGAUACCCUAGUAGUC